rnacentral:rRNA from 1 species
UACAGAGGGGGGCAAGCGUUGUUCGGAAUUACUGGGCGUAAAGGGCGCGUAGGCGGCCUGUUAAGUCGAACGUGAAAUCCCCGGGCUCAACCCGGGAACUGCGUCCGAUACUGGCAGGCUUGAAUUCGGGAGAGGGAUGCGGAAUUCCAGGUGUAGCGGUGAAAUGCGUAGAUAUCUGGAGGAACACCGGUGGCGAAGGCGGCAUCCUGGACCGAGAUUGACGCUGAGGCGCGAAAGCCAGGGGAGCAAACGGG